CGGUGGGAGGUUGCGGGGCGGGGACCCUGGCUUAGCAGCGCUGGGAGGAGAGCGCGGGCCGAAGAAAAGAAACAAUGACGGGGAGAAACUGUCUGCAAACUAUGGCUAGAACGGUCUUCCAGUGUCCCGCCGGCCUUGAGCGCUGAGCUCUAGAGCAAGCUUGGAAGAUACUGAGUCCCAUUUCUCGGAAGUCUACCACCCAGAGAGGUGGAUGGCCCGGGACCCACUCAGGUUUUAACCUUGCUGCCACCGCAGAGGAGUGUUCUUGUCUCUCAUCUGGCUAGCUGGCUGCUCCGAGAGGGCAGAGAGAGCCCGUGGCUACCUGUGCCCAGGAGGGGAUUUUAGAGGAAGGAGCCAGACAAGGAUAUCCCUUCCUCUGCUGUGACCAAAGGAAAUCAAGCCUGGCCUUGUGGUGCACGUGCAUAAUCCCAGCACUCCGGAGGCUGAGGCAGGAAGAUCACUGUGAGUUCACAGUCACCUGGACUACCUAGCCGGACCCUGUCUCAAAAAAACCAAAAAAUAAACAUUUUUGAGAAGAAAUAAAAGCAAAA